GACUAGCCUAGCACAUAUACUUUUUUAACUAAACUAAAACUCAAUCAAAACUAAUAUUCAAAUGAAGAAACGUCCUGUGCUUCCGUAAAAACUGGCCAAAAAAAUAUAUAUAUAAUAUAAUAAUAUAAUAUAUAUUUUUAUAUGUCUAUACAAAUAUAGAUAAAUAUCUAAAAUAUCGCAAAAGAACUGCAACACUGAAUGACUUAACGUUAGCCUAACAUGUUUCCUCAGUGAAGGAGCUGGCGGAUAAGGUUUCCAACUGCAGGACCAUGUAAAGCCAGACCCACGAAUGUUCAGCAUUCUCUAUGCGAACCACCAUCUCAGCUCUGCCUUCUCCUCCCUCUCUCACUGAUUGGGGAAAGAAACACAGGUUUUUCAGGAGUAAUACUCACACAGACUGCAGUGCUGAGCAGAGGCAUGUGAAAGAUCUUGGGGAUGUAGGAAGCUAUACCAGGAUUGGGCCCGAAGAGUCUCCACAUUCAUACCCAAAUAAACGUUUACGCUGAAAGUCAAUAAAGAAUCAAGGUCUUCAUUCUGCCUCUUGAAAGAAAGGAGCUAACCUGUCGCCUAGCAACACCUCCUACUCCUGCUGGAGCUAGUAAGAGAGAGAAGAAGAGGAUGGAUAGAAGCUGUCUGUGAAACUGAUGAGGCUGAUGGAGCUAUGUUCUUCCGGUGGCUUUGUGGAUCAGCACCCAGGAUCCUCUGCCUCUUGUACGUUUUCUGUCCUCCCGCAGUCUGAUAGAGCAUGCGUGGAGACGGACAGCUGGACUAUGAAUGUAUGCAGGGGAGGAAAAGUCGGAAGAGAGAAGGACGGCCCAUUCCGUUCCCCAUACAGCCCCCCUGCACAGCCAACCUCCGCCCACAAAACCCCCCCCAUUAUACCCCCCAGGAUGAAAAUUCCUGGUCUCUGGCCCAAAUUCCCAAAUUCCAAAUUUGUCCAACUCUGGAACAACAGAACAGUGUACAUAUUCCCACACAUAACCAACCAACCCCCUCCAUGCACAUAAGCACCGGCCCCCGCACACACCGACACCCCACCUGGUUUCAUUUAAACUCACCCCCCACAGCCUACAACUUUCUUUCUCUUUUUUCCCCUCCGCUCCUUCAUCUGUCCCAUCUUUUUCGGUCUUACUCUUGGUCUCUAUUCCUUUCAUUCGGCCGGUUAUUUAUAGCUUGGGAGAAGCUGGUGGAAUGCAGACAAAAAUUAGAGAGCAAACUAGAAAGAGAAAGAGCAAGAGAAGGGAGUUUUUUGCCCAUGUCUAAAUAUUUAAACUGGAGGUACACGCAUGCUGAUAUUAGGAUGGAAAUGAAGGGCAGUGGAAAGACUGACAUUCUUACUGCCAUUAUACCUUUACAGACUCUAGAUUUAGUACAGAUUAAUAACUCCAUCAUCUAAUAAACUUAAGAGGACCUUCAGACUCAAGCUUCUCAGCUGGUUCUGCUUCAUAGGACACAGAUUUUACAUCGAAGUGGCAACCCAGUGAUAGUGACUACAAAACAUGUAUUGUACAAAGGUAAACAAAAAUGUCUUUGAGAUCGAACAUUAAAUCGAACGCAAGUGACACUGAAUUGAAUACAGUCCAGUUUAUAUUUUACUUUAUACCAAAAAUCAUGAGGCCUUCAUGAUUUUUGCACCAAACUUAAAAUAGAUCACCUUCAAAAUGAAACUUCUGUCAUAAUUUUGCUCACCCUCUUGUCAUUUCAAACCUGUAUGACUUUCUUUCUUCCGUAGAACACAAAUGAAUGUGUUUUAAAGAAUGUUGUUAACAGC